rnacentral:rRNA from 1 species
ACCAGAGUACUAUGAACGUUGUAAAUUUAAAACUCAAAGAACUUGGCGGUGUUUUAGACCAUUUAGGGGAACCUGUCUCGUAAUCGAUAAUCCACGUUGUACCUGACCUUUUUUUGUUUUCAGUUUGUAUACCGUUGUCGUCAGGUAACUUUUUAGAAGAUAGAAGUUGGCCGGAAAAAUAAUUGAUUUAAUACGUCAAAUCAAGGUGCAGCUAAUAAGAAGGGGAGGAUGGGUUACAGUUAUAUAGUUAUAAUUACGGAUAAUUAUAUGUAAGUAUAAAUUAUGAAGGCGGACUUAAAAGUAAAUUAAAUUAUGAAAAUGACUUGAAUAAGGCUCUGAAACGUGU